AAACGAGGAAAAGGUUUGUCACGUGUCAUUGUUAAAUAGCGGCGAUGUGGGCGUGGCUAAAUGGCGUUGAUGUGAAGCGGAAUCCAGAGAGCCUACAGAUAUGGAAACUGCUCUGAGGCAGAUUCUCCAGCAGAACCAGAAGAAGAGGAGAUGCAGAGAAGAGAUAACAUCAAGAAACUGGUCAUGAUUGAGAUCAAACUGCCAGAUGAAGGACAGCAGACUGAAGGACACAAAGAACCAUCAGAAAUG